rnacentral:tRNA from 1 species
GGGAUCAAGGUGCUAGCGGCAGCAUCGGGGACUCUUAAUCCCACGGGUGGAGGUUCAAGUCCUCCUGGUCCCA